CCGGACCGACCGGGUAGCCGGCCGUGAGAGGGUGACCGGUCACACUGGGACUGAGACACGGCCCAGACUCCUACGGGAGGCAGCAGUGGGGAAGUAUUGGACAAUGGGCGGAAGCCUGAUCCAGCAACGCCGCGUGAGGGAUCACGGCCUUCGGGUUGUAAACCUCUUUCGGUAGGGACGAAGCGCAAGUGACGGUACCUACUAAAGAAGCACCGGCUAACUACGUGCCAGCAGCCGCGGUAAUACGUAGGGUGCGAGCGUUAUCCGGAAUUAUUGGGCGUAAAGAGCUCGUAGGCGGUUUGUCGCGUCUGUCGUGAAAGUCCGGGGCUUAACCCCGGAUCUGCGGUGGGUACGGGCAGACUAGAGUGCAGUAGGGGAGACUGGAAUUCCUGGUGUAGCGGUGGAAUGCGCAGAUAUCAGGAGGAACACCGACGGCGAAGGCAGGUCUCUGGGCUGUAACUGACGCUGAGGAGCGAAAGCAUGGGGAGCGAACAGGAUUAGAUACCCUGGUAGUCCAUGCCGUAAACGUUGGGCACUAGGUGUGGGACCAUUCCACGGUUUC
rnacentral:rRNA from 1 species